GUGGGGAAUCUUGCGCAAUGGGCGAAAGCCUGACGCAGCCAUGCCGCGUGAAUGAUGAAGGUCUUAGGAUUGUAAAAUUCUUUCACCGGGGACGAUAAUGACGGUACCCGGAGAAGAAGCUCCGGCUAACUUCGUGCCAGCAGCCGCGGUAAUACGAAGGGGGCUAGCGUUGCUCGGAAUUACUGGGCGUAAAGGGCGCGUAGGCGGACAGCUUAGUCAGAGGUGAAAGCCCAGGGCUCAACCUUGGAAUUGCCUUUGAUACUGGCUGUCUUGAGUUUGGGAGAGGUGAGGGGAACUCCGAGUGUAGAGGUGAAAUUCGUAGAUAUUCGGAAGAACACCAGUGGCGAAGGCGACUCACUGGCCCAAUACUGACGCUGAGGCGCGAAAGCGUGGGGAGCAAACAGGAUUAGAAACCCUGGUAGUCC
rnacentral:rRNA from 1 species